CUGGCGGCGGAGGUGUGAGGGGGGGGCUCGGGAUUUUGGGGCAAAAAAAUGGAAAUUUGGGAAUUUUCUGAGGGGAAAAAGGGAUCCCCAAGCUCUAAAUUCAAGCUUUUUGGGGAAAUUUGAGGGAGAAAGUGAGUUGGGGUUUUUUUUUUUGAGGAAAAAGAAGGGAUUUUGGGAUUUUUUUCUGAGGGGAUAAAGGGGGUCCCCAAGCUCUAAAUGCAAAACUUCUGGGAAAUUUUGAGGGAGAAAGAUGGUCCCAAUGCAUUAAUAAAUUUUUUUGAGGAAAAAAAGGGAAUUUGGGAAUUUUUUUGAGGGGAAAAAAGUGUCCCCAGGCUCUAAAUCUCAAUGGUUUAAGGAAAUUUGAGGGAAAAAGGGGGUCCCAGUGCAUUAAUUGGGGAUUUUUUGGGUGAAAAAAGGUGAAUUUGGGAUUUUUUCUGAGGGGAAAAAGGGGUCCCCAAGCUCUAAAUCCAAACUUUUGGAGGAAAAUUUGAGGGAAAAAGGAGUCCCAGAACCUUGUUGAGGUGAAAAAUGAGGGAAAAAAAGGGAUUUCUGGAGCCUUUUUGAGGAAAAAUUUGAGGGAAAAAUGUGAAUUUCAAAUCCUGAAUUCCCUUUUUGGGGGAAAAUUGAGGGGGAAAAGGGGUCACAGAAAGAAUUGUGGUGGAUUUUAGACGCUUUUUGUAAAUUUUGAUCAUUUUAAUGCCAUUUUUGACUCAUUUAAAACACUUCAAUGUCACUUUUGGUCACUUUACUGUAACUUUUGAUCACUUUAAUGCCAUUUUUGACCCUUUUAAGGCACUUCAAUGUCACUUUUGGUCACUUUGAUGCCAUUUUUUGUCACUUUAAUGCCAUUUUUUGUCACUUUAAUGCCAUUUUUUUGACACUUUUGGUCACUUUAAUGCCAUUUUUGCUCAC
rnacentral:lncRNA from 1 species